AGAUGUUGCAAGGUGACUGGAGUUCAGACGUGUGCUCUUCCGAUCUGAUGAAAUGUGGCUAGCGGAGAAAUUCCAAUCGAACCCGGAAAUAGCUGGUUCUCCCCGAAAUAGCUUUAGGGCUAGCGUUGUAUUAGAUUUCUGGGGGUAAAGCACUGAAUAGGCUAGGGGCCGAGAGGUUACUGAACCUUAUCAAACUAAGAAUACCAGAAAAUUGAUGUACAGCAGUCAGACUAUGUGAGAUAAGUCUCAUAGUCAAAAGGGAAACAGCCCAGACCCACAGCUAAGGUCCCAAAACAGAUUUAAGUGGAAAAGGAUGUGGGAUUGCCCAGACAACCAGGAUGUUGGCUUAGAAGCAGCCACACAUUAAAAGAGUGCGUAAUAGCUCACUGGUCGAGUGAUCCUGCGCCGAAAAUUCAACGGGGCUAAAAUUUGUACCGAAGCUUGGGCUUGAUACUUUGUAUCAGGGGUAGGGGAGCGUCAUGUAUGAGGAGAAGUCGUAGCGGAAGCGGCGGUGGAUUGUACAUGAGAGAGAAUGCCGGAAUGAGUAGCGAGAAUUAUGUGAGAAUCAUAAUGGCCGAAAAUCUAAGGUUUCCUGAGGAAGGUUCGUCCGCUCAGGGUAAGCCGGGAGCUAAGGUGAGGCGGAAACGCGUAGCCGAUGCACAUACGGUAGAGAUUCCGUAGCCUCCGAAAAGUAAAGCACAGGGACGCUUCAGAAGUGUUACGCCGGGCGAUGGUUGCCCCGGUUGUAAAGGACACAAUUGAGUGGAAGGUAACAUGGAUGGAGACAAGAAAAGCUGUGUGUAUCUGGAAGGAGCCCGUACCGCAAACCGACACAGGUAGAUAGGAAGAAGAUUCUAAGGCCAGCGGGAGAAGGGUUGUUAAGGAACUCGGCAAGUUGACCCCGUAACUUCGGGAGAAGGGGUGCUUACGAAGGUAAGCCGCAGAGAAUAGGCCCAAGCGACUGUUUAGCAAAAACACAGCUCUAUGCUAAAUCGAAAGAUGACGUAUAUGGGGUGACACCUGCCCGGUGCUGGAAGGUUAAGAGGAGAUGUGAGAGCAUUGAAUUGAAGCCCCAGUAAACGGCGGCCGUAACAAUAACGGUCCUAAGGUAGCGAAAUUCCUUGUCAGGUAAGUUCUGACCCGCACGAAUGGUGUAACGAUUUGGGCACUGUCUCAACAACCUACCCGGCGAAAUUGUAGUACCGGUGAAGAUGCCGGUUACCCGCGACUAGACGGAAAGACCCCAUGGAGCUUUACUGUAGCUUAAUAUUGGAUUUCGGCAUUUCAUGUACAGGAUAGGUGGGAGACUAGGAAACAUAGGCGUCAGCUUAUGCGGAGUCGUCCUUGGGAUACCACUCUUGGAGUGCUGAAAUUCUAACCUGCAGCCCUGAAUCGGGUUGGGGGACAUUGUUAGGUGGGCAGUUUGACUGGGGCGGUCGCCUCCAAAAAGGUAACGGAGGCGCUCAAAGGU
rnacentral:rRNA from 1 species